UACGACUAUAUCACGUUGAAACACCUGUUCCAGUAAGAUUACCGAACUUAAGCAACGUUGGGCUUGGCCAAUACCUAGAUAGGUGACAGCUUGGAAAUUCCAGGUGCUGUAAG